CCUUUUUGGCGUCCAGAUCGUCCAAAUGAUUCUGUAUAAACUGUACAGUAGCGCCAAGAUCUGCAGAAUUGAACUCAUACGGAAUAUUCCAUCCAAGUGGACCAAACUUUCGUCUUUCUUGUACGACUGUAUGUAGAAAUGCAGCUGCAUAUAACAUUGGUUUCCAUUGUGGCAUGUUUGUCACGUCCAGUUGAUCCUGGGAA
rnacentral:lncRNA from 1 species